rnacentral:rRNA from 1 species
GAUGAACGCUGGCGGCGUGCCUAAUACAUGCAAGUCGAGCGAACAGACGAGGAGCUUGCUCCUCUGACGUUAGCGGCGGACGGGUGAGUAACACGUGGAUAACCUACCUAUAAGACUGGGAUAACUUCGGGAAACCGGAGCUAAUACCGGAUAAUAUAUUGAACCGCAUGGUUCAAUAGUGAAAGACGGUUUUGCUGUCACUUAUAGAUGGAUCCGCGCCGCAUUAGCUAGUUGGUAAGGUAACGGCUUACCAAGGCAACGAUGCGUAGCCGACCGGAGAGGGUGAUCGGCCACACUGGAACUGAAGCAGGGUCCCGACUCCUACGGGAGGCAGCAGUAGGGAAUCUUCCGCAAUGGGCGAAAGCCUGACGGAGCAACGCCGCGUGAGUGAUGAAGGUCUUCGGAUCGUAAAACUCUGUUAUUAGGGAAGAACAAAUGUGUAAGUAACUAUGCACGUCUUGACGGUACCUAAUCAGAAAGCCACGGCUAACUACGUG